CUCUCUGUGUGCCGGCAUCGCUGCCCCGUCUCGUUCCCAAUCCCAUUCUGGUUCCCCCGCCCCGGUUUCAGGUUCAGGUUCAGUUUUAGUUUCACGUU
rnacentral:sRNA from 1 species